rnacentral:lncRNA from 1 species
UUUUGACAUUAUGUAAAUUAAGAUUAUGUAAGAAUGUGUAACCAUAAAUGUCCAGUCGAACUUGGUUUUAUGGUUACACAUUCUUACAUAAUCUUAAUUUACAUAAUGUCAAAAAAUCUUUUUCAUCCAAUUAUUGAUUUCAUGACAUGAAGGAUAUCAUAAAUGGUUCAAUAUGGAAAGAGAAAAAAGAAAGUGUAACAUAUGCAAUCUAGACAUUGGAGAUGAAUUCCAUCACAUUAUAAAUUGUUCACAUUAUAUAGAAGAGAGCAAUAAAUUUACAAAUCAAAUUUUAAUAUAGGGCUAAAUAUUUAUACUAUUUACUGAAAUUAUCUCUUCUACAAAUAGGACAGAUCUCAUAAAGUUUAUACGAAUUAUAAACAAG